AGGGAGAAGGCAAAUGGGACGGAUGGAGGAUGCCUGCCCCUUGCUGAGAGUGUGACAGACUCUGCUCCAAGGAACUGGUUGAACUCUGUUUUCUUUCUAAAGCAGAGAUACACAUUUUCUUCUCUGUCUACUCCUGCUGUGCUCUGAGACCUGUGAUAAGAUUCUUCUUUCUUUUGUGCUAGGUGCUUCAAACCAAGCGCAGCUCCCGGAGGCAAAGCCUGGAGCUGCAGAAGUGUGAGGAGAUCUUGCACAAGAUUGUGAAGUAUCGCUUCAGCUGGCCCUUCAGGGAGCCCGUGACCAGAGACGAGGCCGAGGACUACUAUGAUGUGAUCACCCAACCUAUGGACUUUCAGACAAUGCAGAACAAAUGUUCCUGUGGAAACUACCGCUCAGUGCAGGAGUUUCUCACCGACAUGAAGAAACGCAAGAAGUUUCCUGAUCGGCUUGCUGAUGAUGAAGUGGACAGUGAUCCAGAGCCUGUUGGACAGUCCAGGGGACGAAGACAGAAGAAAUAGAGGCGGGGGCUGUGGUAAGGGAGGUGGGGGACAGUAGGAGACAACCAGGGCGGUGGGAGAGGAAGUUGGAGAACUCCAAAAGGAAGCAGUCACGGAGUCCAGAAAUGCCUGUCACUCCAAGCCUGGGCUGUUUUCUCAAUUCCCCAUAUGGCCUUAUUCAAGCAGAGCUCUUGGGGAGGCUGAUCCUGGUCUGAUAGUCUCUGCCAAGAAAUACUAGGGGUAGAAGAGGGCCUUAACCCUGCUUUCUGGGAGUUUCCAGGAGGAGGCCAGGGGCCAGUUCUUCCUAGGAACCCAAUUCUUUUUCCUUUUCUCCUUCCUAAGGUUCCCCCAUGUUGGCUCCCACAGCAGUGCCAAGCCCCUCUGGCCUCCAGGGAAGGGUGACUGUGUUACAUAGCAGGAUCAAGAGGAGCUAGGCCAUUGGGGAGGUGGUGUUGAUUUUCUUUUUAAUCUAUAUUUAUACACAAUCUUGUUUCUUUAAGCCCAUACUGUCUGUUCCACCUUCUCCCUCUCAGGUGACAGUAUCAGUGAGUGCCAUGCAGAACCCUAUAUUCACCAGCAUCAUGGGACAGUUGUGGUCUUUUGAGCUUGGCAGAGUAAAGGGACAUUCCCUGGAGCCAUUCCUGAAUACCCCUCCCCUUCUUUGUGACAGCUUCCUCCCUCUUCCCAUCUCACCUCACCGCCUCAGAAAACAAAAAACUAAGGCACUUCACUCGAGACUGGCGUCCUGCUUGUAAUCGUGCUUAUAACCUUUACUUCGUGGAUCUGGCCAGAGGGUGUUGGAGCCCAGCCCACCCACACACCAGACAAGCUCUUAGGGAGCAGAAGAGCAGGAAGACUGUAAUGUUUGACGUUUUUUAAAUUGACUUUUCUAGUUAUUAAAAGUUGCUUGUUUUAGCAGUGAUACUGUAUAAAGAACAUCUUGUAAAAUAUUUGUCAUCUUGCUUUGGCACAUGUACAGUACAAUUUCUAUGAUGACGUGUUGCUUUACACCCCCAUCCUUCCUCGGCCAGCCUGCAUUUUCAGAGAAGCUAGGUCGGAGGUCCUCGCAAGCAGGUAGUGGGAUCUGGUGGUGCUCUGGGCCGUUUGCCUACUAUAGUGGCUCUUUCCGCCUCUGUGCCUGCCUCCUGAGUCCCCACUCUGGCCUCAGACUGGAGCUCUUGUGACUUGUGCAUCUCAGCAGGUGGAGAGGAGUGGCCGGAACCUCUGUGAGAGCCCUUCCUAUGGCCAGGCUAGCCUAGUUGUUACAGGUAGGCAGAAGUUUGUAGUCUUUCCCUUUUAUGACAGAUUUUUGAUAAACGUAUAAGACAGGGUUUAAUUUUCUUUUCUAUCAACCUUGAAUUUGGAAAAUGUGAGCACCUCAGCUCUUUAGCCCACAGUUGCCGCUCCUUGGACCGAGAUAAAUAAAGCCUCUUGACCUGACACUUCAGGUGUGAUCCUGUCUCCCCUCUUCCCUGCCCAGGGACUUGGGAAUUUGCUCCAGUGGCUGGUGGGUGGGUCACCGUCCCUUCUCCUGUAGGCUUGGAGUGAGCACUGACCUUACAGCGUCAUAGUCCCAGCCACCACCGCCUUCUCCUGCUUCUUAUCCUAGGUCCAGUCUGUCCUUGUGCUAGUGAGGAUCCUGUGUGCCCGCUGCAGUGACACCUGCAUUGUUGGUUGGUUUUUAAAUUGUCUUUAAGGAGGAAGGGCCCCAUUAAAGGGUGAACUUGUAAUAAAUUGGGAUUUCAAAUAAACAUUAUGUACCUGUG
rnacentral:lncRNA from 1 species